UGGGNACUCGGGCGAAAGCCUGUAUCCAGCCUGCCGCGUGUGUGAACAAGGUCUUCGGAUUGUAAAGCACUUUAAGUUGGGAGGAAGGGCAGUUACCUAAUACGUGAUUGUUUUGACGUUACCGACAGAAUAAGCACCGGCUAACCUCUGUGCCAGCAGCG
rnacentral:rRNA from 1 species